AGCGUAUAGUUAGUGGCGAAAGGGUUAGUAAUGGCUAGGUAACGUACCCCGUGCUCCGGGAUAGCUAUUCGAAAGGGUAGGUAAUACCGGAUAACAUCGUGAAUCGAUAGGUUCGCGAUCAAAGAUUUAUCGGCGUGGGAGCGGCCUAGUUCCUAUCAGCUUGUUGGUGAGGUAAUGGCUCACCAAGGCAUCGACGGGUAGCGGGACUGAGAGGUUGGCCCGCAACAUCGGAACUGAGACACUGUCCGGACCUCCACGGAGGGCUGCAGUAACGAAUAUUGCGCAAUGGGCGAAAGCCUGACGCAGCGACGCCGCGUGUGGGAUGAAGUUUUUCGGAAUGUAAACCACUUUUCGGGUUAAGAAAGUCUUCGGAUUGAUCUACCCCGGAAUAAGUCACGGCUAACUUCGUGCCAGCAGCCGCGGUAAGACGAAGGUGGCAAGCGUUGUUCGGUAUUACUGGGCUUAAAGCGUGUGUAGGCGGAAAUGUAAGCGUUUUGUGAAAUCCCUCGGCUCAACCGAGGAAUUGCUUGGCGAACUACAUUUCUUGAGGCAAGUAGGGGUACACGGAACUCUUGGUGGAGCGGUGGAAUGCGUAGAUAUCAAGAGGAACGCCGGUGGAGAAGUCGGUGUACUGGGCUUGUCCUGACGCUGAGACACGAAAGCGUGGGGAGCAAACAGGAUUAGAUACCCUGGUAGUCCACGCUGUAAACGAUGUCUACUAGGUCGUGCGGGUUCUGACGCCGGCACGGCCGAAGCUAAAGUGUUAAGUAGACCGCCUGGGGAGUACGGUCGCAAGGCUAAAACUCAAAGGAAUUGACGGGGGCUCACACAAGCGGUGGAGCAUGUGGAUUAAUUCGAAACAACGCGCAGAACCUUACCUGGGUUUGACAUGCUUGGAUGCUCUUUGGGAAACCAGAGUAGGCUGCCCUUCGGGGUGAAACUUGCACAGGUGCUGCAUGGCUGUCGUCAGCUCGUGUCGUGAGAUGUUGGGUUAAGUCCUUUAACGAGCGAAACCCUUACCGUUAGUUGCCAGCGAGUCAUGUCGGGGACUCUAACGGGACUGCCGGUGUUAAACCGGAGGAAGGUGGGGAUGACGUCAAGUCCUCAUGGCCUUUAUGCCCAGGGCUUCACACGUGCUACAAUGGUUCGGACAGAGCGACGCAAGACCGCGAGGUGGAGCAAAUCGCAAAAACCGAGCCUCAGUUCGGAUUGCAGGCUGGCAACUCGCCUGCAUGAAGGUGGAAUCGCUAGUAAUCGCGUGUCAGCUAUAACGCGGUGAAUGUGUUCCUGAGCCUUGUACACACCGCCCGUCAAGUGAUGGGAGUUGGGAGUACCCGAAGUCGGAUUGCUAACCAGCAAUGGAGGCGUCUGCCGACGGUAAGCCCGAUGACUGGCACUAAGUCGAACAAGGUA
rnacentral:rRNA from 1 species